UAAGCCUGUGAAGGUGUGUCGUGAGGCAUGCUGGAGGUAUCAGAAGUGCGAAUGCUGACAUAAGUAACGAUAAAGCGGGUGAAAAGCCCGCUCGCCGGAAGACCAAGGGUUCCUGUCCAACGUUAAUCGGGGCAGGGUGAGUCGACCCCUAAGGCGAGGCCGAAAGGCGUAGUCGAUGGGAAACGGGUUAAUAUUCCCGUACUUGGUGUUACUGCGAAGGGGGGACGGAGAAGGCUAUGUUGGCCGGGCGACGGUUGUCCCGGUUUAAGCGUGUAGGUGUGUGUUCCAGGUAAAUCCGGUUCACUUUAACACUGAGGCGUGACGACGAGGCACUACGGUGCUGAAGCAACAAAUGCCCUGCUUCCAGGAAAAGCCUCUAAGCAUCAGGUAACAUCAAAUCGUACCCCAAACCGACACAGGUGGUCAGGUAGAGAAUACCAAGGCGCUUGAGAGAACUCGGGUGAAGGAACUAGGCAAAAUGGUGCCGUAACUUCGGGAGAAGGCACGCUGACACGUAGGUGAAGUGAUUUACUCAUGGAGCU
rnacentral:rRNA from 1 species